rnacentral:misc_RNA from 2 species
CCCAACUAUCCCUAUUAAUCAUUACGGUGAUUCAGAAACCAACAAAACAGGACCACUGUCCUAUUUUAUUAUUCCAUGCUAAUGUAUUCAGACGUAAACCUGCUUUGAACACUCUAAUUUUUUCAAGGUAAAGGUCCUGGUUUCCCACCAUGCUAAAUUAAUAACAUGAUGGUUCCCCAGAAGGUAGAAAUUCCACACGCCAGUACAGACUAUUGCCCGACCAACGGUAGAACCCCGAAAUUCAACUACGAGCUUUUUAACUGCAACAACUUUAAUAUACGCUAUUGGAGCUGGAAUUACCGCGGCUGCUGGCACCAGACUUGCCCUCCAA